UACGGGAGGCAGCGGUGGGGAAUAUUGCACAAUGGGCGCAAGCCUGAUGCAGCCAUGCCGCGUGUAUGAAGAAGGCCUUCGGGUUGUAAAGUACUUUCAGUCGUGAGGAAGGUGUUAAGGUUAAUAACCUUAGCAAUUGACGUUAGCGACAGAAGAAGCACCGGCUAACUCCGUGCCAGCAGCCGCGGUAAUACGGAGGGUGCGAGCGUUAAUCGGAAUUACUGGGCGUAAAGGGCACGCAGGCGGUUAAUUAAGUUGGAUGUGAAAUCCCCGGGCUUAACCUGGGAAUGGCAUUCAAGACUGGUUAGCUAGAGUCUUGUAGAGGGGGGUAGAAUUCCAUGUGUAGCGGUGAAAUGCGUAGAGAUGUGGAGGAAUACCGGUGGCGAAGGCGGCCCCUGGACAAAGACUGACGCUCAUGUGCGAAAGCGUGGGGAGCAAACAGGGAUUAGAUACC
rnacentral:rRNA from 1 species